CCUACGGGAGGCAGCAGUGAGGAAUAUUGGUCAAUGGGCGAGAGUCUGAACCAGCCAAGCCGCGUGAGGGAAGAAGGUACAGCGUAUCGUAAACCUCUUUUGUCAGGGAACAAAGGCGAGGACUAGUCCCCGGAUGAGGGUACCUGAAGAAAAAGCAUCGGCUAACUCCGUGCCAGCAGCCGCGGUAAUACGGAGGAUGCGAGCGUUAUCCGGAUUUAUUGGGUUUAAAGGGUGCGAAGGCGGCCUGUUAAGUCAGUGGUAAAAGCUCGGGGCUCAACCCCGGAGUGCCGUUGAAACUGGGUGGCUGGAGGUGGAGAGAGGUAGGCGGAAUGCGCGGUGUAGCGGUGAAAUGCUUAGAUAUCGCGCAGAACCCCGAUUGCGAAGGCAGCGUAUCGGCUCCACACUGACGCUGAGGCACGAAAGUGUGGGUAUCGAACAGGAUUAGAUACCCUUGUAGUC
rnacentral:rRNA from 1 species